CCUACGGGGGGCAGCAGUGAGGAAUAUUGGUCAAUGGGAGAGAUCCUGAACCAGCCAAGCCGCGUGAGGGAAGACGGCCCUAUGGGUUGUAAACCUCUUUUGUCGGAGAACAAAACCCGGGACGUGUCCCGGACUGCGUGUAUCCGAAGAAAAAGCAUCGGCUAACUCCGUGCCAGCAGCCGCGGUAAUACGGAGGAUGCGAGCGUUAUCCGGAUUUAUUGGGUUUAAAGGGUGCGCAGGCGGUCUGUUAAGUCAGCGGUCAAAGCCCGGGGCUCAACCCCGGCCCGCCGUUGAAACUGGCAGUC
rnacentral:rRNA from 1 species